UACAGAGGAUGCAAGCGUUAUCCGGAAUGAUUGGGCGUAAAGCGUCUGUAGGUGGCUUUUUAAGUCCGCCGUCAAAUCCCAGGGCUCAACUCUGGACAGGCGGUGGAAACUACCAAGCUGGAGUACGGUAGGGGCAGAGGGAAUUUCCGGUGGAGCGGUGAAAUGCGUAGAGAUCGGAAAGAACACCCGUGGCGAAGGCGGCUCACUGGGUCUUUACUGACGCUGAUGCACGAAAGCUAGGGUAGCAAACGGG
rnacentral:rRNA from 1 species